rnacentral:rRNA from 1 species
GAGUUUGAUCAUGGCUCAGGACAAACGCUGGCGGCGUGCAUAACACAUGCAAGUCGAACGAAAUCUACAUGAUUUAGUGGCGAACGGGUGAGUAACACGUGAGAAACCUGCCUUACACAGAGGGAUAGCCGUUGGAAACGACGAUUAAUACCUCAUGACACCGUGACAUCGCAUGAUGAUGCGGUCAAAGAUUUAUCGGUGUAAGAUGGUCUCGCGCCUGAUUAGCUGGUUGGUGGGGUAACGGCCUACCAAGGCGACGAUCAGUAGCCGAUCUGAGAGGGUGGACGGCCACAUUGGGACUGAGACACGGCCCAAACUCCUACGGGAGGCAGCAGUGGGGAAUUUUGCACAAUGGGGGAAACCCUGAUGCAGCGACGCCGCGUGAACGAAGAAGGCCUUCGGGUUGUAAAGUUCUGUCCCUUGGUGAAGAUAAUGACCGUAACCAGAGAAGCC